rnacentral:lncRNA from 1 species
AGGUAGAUUAUUUUCCCCUUUUAAAAAACAACCCACAAAGACCACACACACACACACACACACACACACACACACACACACACGCACAUACACCUAUCUGCCCUCAUUAUAUGUCCUACCAAACAUGAGAAAGUAAUACCUUCUCUCCCUGUUCAAUAAGUCCUCCUACCCUACUUUUGAUAAUCCCCAACGGGAAUGCAAAAUAUCCUCUCUUUCAUUUCCACCUUCUCUUCAACCAUUUCCUAUGCAGUUUCUUAAGGACAUUCUUCUGGGUCUAGUCUGCUAAAGCUUGUUCUAUCAGUUUUUUUUCCACUUAGUAUUUCAAAGGAGAGUGCAGUGGACUUCUGGUUGUCCCCCUGGCAUCUACUUGAUGGUGGGCCGUUUGAGUAGGAUUGACCUCGAGCACUGCUCCAGCAUGAAUUCUGAUUGGUCUGUGCCAGUCCUUUUUGCCACCGAGGAUUGGACAAAGCCAAUCAAUGCAUAGCAUUCACUGGACAAUAUUAGUUCAAGGAAUUUCCAAUUAGAGGGAAGUUGAGGGCUUUUUUUUGAUACCCCCAGGAGCUCUUGCUGUUCGUGUGAAUGAGGGCUCAGGAAGCCCUGGAUACUGCUGCCAGCCCUCCUGUGAUUAUAAAGAAAGCCAGACAGAGAAAGAAGUCAACACAUAAAAGAGGGCAGAACAGUGAAUUACAAGCAAAUGGAACCAGGGCCCUGAUAGAACUGUGCCUGAAGCCCACCCUACUUUUCCUCUGAGCUCUUCAAUUAUGUGAGAUAACAAAUCCUUUCUAUUGCUAAACUGGCAUGAGUCAUGCUUUCCAUUACUUGUAAUGGAAAAUAACCUAAGUGGUAAAACAAAGGAGGUUUCCCCAAACAAUUCUUAUCCAACUAAAUCUUUGCAGCCUUUUUUCCCCAGUCACUUUUGAAACCUUACUAUGUUUCAGGCUUUCUCUGAGGACCCGGCCCUUAUCCUUUGGUGUCCUGAGUUGGAAGGGACACUUGGGAGUGGCAGAGAGAGUGACAGGCAGCCUACCUACCCAGGAAAUUGCGGCAGCCCCCAGCCGUGGAGCCGCGAACCCAGCUUCCCUGAUGGACCGUCACCUCCCAUUUGUGGAUCGCGUCUUCCUCCAGGGCAUCGGGAGUGAGGUUGCAGAUCUCCACUUUAUCAAAGUGGGCCUUGAAGUCCUUAAAUGCCAUCCUGCAGCAAAGCGGAGAGACACGAUGCACAGGAGGGCAAGAGUGAGGGCAUCAUCCAUUCACUCAUUCAUUAAAUCAUUCACUUAUUCAUUAAAUCAUCUUGUUCCUGUCCGCAAGGAGUGGGGGGACUGCAAAGUGUGGGGAGAUGGAAAAUUUUUUAAAAGUAAAAUAAAGGUUAAAAAGGUAAAAACCAGGCUAAAAAUAUAGAUUGAUUGUAGAUGUUAAGUGCUACAGAGAAAAACCAAAUUGGGCUGAAGGAUGGGAGCGUAGGGGUGGGAUGCUAUUUUAAACAGGGAGGUAAGAGAAGCCCUUACUGAUGGGGCACAUUCUGAGUGGAGACCUGAACUACCAGGUCCUGGGCAGGGCAGCUCUCUGGGGGUCUAGGCAGAUGGACAGCAAGGCCCCGAGGCAGAGAGGUGCUUGAGGUGCUCACAGAACACCAGGAAGGCACGAGGUGUCUGUAAGGAAUAAGAUCAAGAGAUCAUAGUACAUCAAAUAGGUAUAGGGAUUUUGGCUUUGACUCUGAGAAGAUGGAGAGCUUUUAGAAGGCAGUAAACAGAGGAGUCACAUGCUCCAUGGCUGCUGUGUUGAGAACAGAUUUUGGGGACACAAGUGGAAGCAGAGAGGCAGCUAGGAAGUUAGUGCCGGUGUCCAAGUGAGAGACAAGGGUGGCUUGGUCCAGGCUGAUGGUAUGGGAGGUGAUGAACAGUGGCCAGAUUUGAGACACAUUCCAAAGGUAAAUUUUAUAGGAUUUGCUAAUGGACUGGAUGUGGGGAAGGAGCGAAUGAAAGGAAUCAGGAUGUUUGAUUUGAGUGACUGGAAGGAUGGAGAUGGGGAAGGCUGUGGUGGGGCAGUUUGAGAGAGAAGCUCAGGAGGUCAGGUUUGGGCACGUGAAUGUGAGAUGUCUAUUAUACAUUCAAGGAGAGAUGUUAAAGUAGACCAUUGAAUAUGUGACUCUGGAAUCCUGGGGAAAGGAGCUGAAGAUAGAAACCUGAGAAUUAGUGUAAAGAUAGUUUUUAAAGUCAAGAGACCAGACGAGACGCCUAAAGAGUGGGAAUAGACAGCCAGGAGGGGGACCAUGGAUGGGGUCCUGGGACACCUCAGUGCUAACAGGUUAGGGAGAUGAGAGGGGGCCAGGACAGGAUGUUGAGAAGGAGCUCAGGUAGGAGGAGGACCACCAGGGCGUGUGGUCCCCCGCAAUCCAGCACGUCAAGGGCUCCUGAUGGAUCAAGAUAAUCUGAUCGAGCAAAGUGAGAGUCGGUGGCGUCCCUGGCAAGAUCAGGGUUAGUGGGGUGGUGGGGCACACUCAUAGCUGAGUGGAGUCGAGAGAGUAAGGGAGAAGAGGAACUGGCGGGCUUGCUGUAGAGGACAGGAGAGAGCUGGGUUGGUCACUUGAGUGGGUCAAGAGAGGCUUUUUUUUUCUUUGCAGGUAGGAGAAAUGAUAGUGUUGGAGUGCUAAGGGGAAUGAUUCAGAAGAAGGGGGGAAUUCAUACGUAAGGGGAGAGAAGAGAGUUGCAGGAGGUACAUCCUAGAGCUGGUGAAGAAUGGAAAGAGGCUACACAGGGCUUCAGAGUCAGGAUUCCAGGAGGAAGGGCUCCACGCACAGAGUGCAUGAUUUAACACCACCCAUCACCUUGGGCAGGCUCAGCCCUGGUGUUGGGGCUGCUCCUUCAAGAGGGGCAGGGCAAUGGAUCACUCACAUGGACGCUCUUCUUUGUGGAGCUUCCUGCUGUGAAUUUCCGAGUUUCCUCUGCCCGGCUUCUCCCACCGUCUGCACCAGACCUUCUUUCCACUAGCCUGACCUCAGGUAGCCUCUCAAACUCUGGUUUCUACCUCCUGCUCAUAUGCAGCAAUUACUGUGAUGGUACUAAUUCCAGAACUCAGCUUUCUUCCUGCAGUUUUUGCUCCUCUCUUGUAACCCCCUAACUCAAAGUCCCCUGUACUUCAAAAUUCAAAGUUUAUCUGUAAUUUCUAAUUUGACAGCUUGGGAAUCUCUCAAGCACCCUGCAUGUGUUCCACAAAUCUGGGGAACCUAAACCCUCAUGGUUCCCGAGGCAGAGAUGGCUGGCAGUCAUCAGCACAGGACCAAGACUGCACCCCACUCCUUCCAUUUGGGAGUAGAAUAUGAUGACGUGACCUUAGAAGAUGGCAGAGCCACACAAUAGAAGGCGUUUGGGUUCCUGAAUCACUGUAUGAACAGAGCCACCCACAGAAUAUGAACAUCCUCCCUGGACUGUCAUAAUGAGUGAGGAAAAAACUUUACUGUGUUUGAGCCUUUAUAUAUUUGGGGUCUAUUCACUACUGCAGCUAGUGUUACCUUGAGUCAUUGGUGCCUUGAAUUACAGAACUGCCACAACGAAAUUCUAAAAUAUGUUAGCAGUUGAGCAAGAGGGAUCAUGGAACUGUUCGAGCUGGAAAAUGGUUAUCUAUGUUAUGCAGUGGCAAAACAUUGGGUAAAUCUGUUGCAUGUUGUUAUGGACUGAAUGUUUGUGGUCUCCCCUAAAUUCAUAUGUUGAAUCCUAACCCUCGAAGUAGUAGUGUCAGGAGGUGGGGCCUUUGGGAGGUGACUAGGUUGUGAGGGUGGAGCCCUCAUGGAUGGGGUUAGUGCCAUUAUAAAAGAGGCCCCAGAGAGCUGCCUUGCCCUCUUUCUACCAUGUGAGGACAGAGUGAGAAGGAUCCAUCUAUAAAUCAGAAACAGGGCCCUCCACAGAUAUAGGUACUGCCUGUGUCAUCUUCUUGGACUUCCUGGUAUCUAGAACUGUGAGAAAUAAAUUCCUGUUCUUUGUAAGCCACUCAGUCUAUGGUAUUUUUUUAUAGCCACCCAAAUAGACUAAGACAACUAUAAAAAUACAGAAGGCAGAACAAAUCACUACUGAGGCUGUGUUCUAUGGGAAAAGAAUGAAAAAGGCUGGAAUAGUCAUGGUUUUGGGUUGUAGUAUUUUUUUUUUUUUUUUUUGAGAUGGAGUAUCACUCUGUUGUCCAGGCUAGAGUGCAGUGAUGCAAUCUCGGCUCACUGCAAGCUCCACCUCCUGGGUUCACGCCAUUCUCCUGCCUCAGCCUCCCAAGUAGCUGGGACUAUAGGCACUCACCACCACCCCUGGCUAAUUUUUUGUAUUUUUAGCAGGGGUGGGGUUUCACUGUGUUAGCCAGGAUGGUUUCAAUCUCCUGACCUCGUGAUCCACCCGCCUUGGCCUCCCAAAGUGCUGGGAUUACAGGCGUGAGCCACCGUGCCCUGCUGUUGUAUUUUAAAAGCUGUUACAAGAAAGAGAUGAGCUCAGGCAAGACUUGAUUGGUUGGAGCACAUGAAAGGGAAUAGAGCCAGAAACCAGAAAUUUGUGGUCUCACAGGGUUAGAAGGGCCAACUUCUAGAACCCAAACAGGAAGAAAUAAGACUGAAAAAGAUUCUAGAGAUGAAGGCCCAAUACAAAUGUUCAAUUAAACAAAGAGAUUCAGGCCAAGGGAAAGUCCAGAGUAGAAAUGUUUACUUCCUACGUAGGUCGAUAUCUUUAGAUGCUCUCAGGGCAGCUGCCUUCAAAGGUACCUCUCAUCAAGAUGGGUGUGGAGGGAAUGGAUCCUGUGAGCAGUAGGGCUGCCUGUCUUCAAAUUCACUGUGUAAACCUGGAUGACAAAGAGUGCCAAGGAGGUGUGUCAGGCUAGAGACCAGAGGCUCUUCCUCUAUUGGAUUGCAGGAACCCCCUGAAGACUCUUCAACAAACCGAGAGCUGGGGUGAGCCCCCACCAAGACAGGAGGGAGAUUAAAUUUCCCUCUAAUCUGGGUGUAUAUGAGGAGUCUGAGACAGAUGAAUUUGAUUUGCCAAAAAUGGAGAGAGAAGGCUGGGCGUGGUGGCUCAUACCUGUAAUUCCAGCACUUUGGGAGGCCAAGGUGGGUGGUUUCUCUGAGGUCAGGGGUUCGAGACUAGCCUGGCCAACACGGUGAAACCCCAUCUCUACUAAAGAUACAAAAUGAGUCGGGCGUGGUGGCGCAUGCCUGUACUCUCAGCUGCUUGGGAGGCUGAGGCAGGAGUAUCACUUGAACCUGGGAGGCAGAGGUUGCAGUGAGACGAGAUCGCACCACUGCACUCCAGCCUGGGCAAUAAGAACAAAACUCCGUCUCAAAAAAAAAAAAAAAAAAAGAAAGAAAGAAAGAAAAAGGAAAGCGAGAGAGAAGCACAGUGCUCCUUACGCCCCAGGGCCAUGGGACUUGCUCGUAUCUGCAGUUAACACAGGAACAAGCACGGUACCAGAAUUCCCCAUCAUCCAGAGCAGUGUGACACAGACGCUUCUGCUCAGCUGGACCAACAGAACGCCACUCCGGAGAACUAGGAGUAAACAAAAUUGGUGUUCAGGCAGAGGUCAUGAUGAAGAGCAACAAUGGCCUUGAUGUGGAACCCACAGUGUGCGGUUAUGGAGGAAAUAAGACCUGCUUAGUAACUACUCACUGGGUCCCAAAAAUGCACCCAGGGAUGUAGCGGCAGGUGAGCCACUGGCCCCCAAAUAAGAGGGCUGGUCAGAAAGUACAUCUCCAAGUGUUGCUGAUGGAUAAAAUACCCCUGAGGAUGAUCUGAACCACCGACAUGGAAGAUUAUCUUGGGAUAGUCACAAGGCAUUGCAUGCCCGUGGGGUAGCAGAAGAGCCCGGCUGGAAGCCACAAGUCUGCUGACUUUCGUGCUUGGCCUCCAACUUGCCAUGUGACCUGGAGCAGUACUUGGCCCUUCCUUAAUGGACAAGCUGACACUUGGAAAGGUGAUAAUGCCUUACACCUGCCCAUGCUUGAUGUUGUCUGUACCCGGCACCUUUUGUAUGUGACCUCGCUGGCAAGCCAGGUGGGGUUCUGUGAGCUAGGUGUGCCCGUCCUGCAGAUAAGAGGGCUCAGGUAGGCCCAUGGAAACACUCUCAGGGAAGAGUAGGGGUAGGAAUGGCUGCCUGUCACUCUCCAAACUCAGGAUUUGUGACUCCAAGUUCAUUGCAUUUUCUGUGACUCCCACAGCCGCCUCCAAAUAGUUCAAAGUAGGUCACCACUGUUGCGGUGCUACAGCCAACGUGGCAGCUCCCUCUCAUCCUGUGAUCUCAACUCAACCUCAGGGGAGUGCUCAGGUGAUCCAAGGGGAGGAUCAGCCGGGACCUGUCUCCAGGUGCUCGGGCCAGGGUCAGAAGAGUGGAACUGGCAGCCAUUAUUUUCUUUUGGAGCCAUUAUCCUAAGUGGCUCACACCCAGAUAAUUGGCCUGACAGGCUGGCCAUGCGGUGCCUUCAACCCUACUCACAUGUCACCAGCAGCACAGCGAAGUCAGGGAGUCGGGAUGGCGCCUGCCCCUCCCAUCACCCAUGGAGGCUGCAUGAGUGGAAGACAAAUUUUAUUCCAGCCUUGGCUCUCAGUCACUUUCUUGAUUUCUACCUCUGUGAGUCCCAGAAAAUGGGAGACAAUGGCCCAUUUUCCCUUUAUAGGCUACGAUCUCAAAGUUGAGGGGCACUGCACAUCUUACAACGUGACGCAGUCUCACUAAUUUUGGUUUCAGUAGUUCUCUGUGCUUUCCAUUUCUGCCAGGAGAGGGAGGCCAAUCUCUUUCCUCCUCAACCCAUCUCAGCUCAUCUCUGCCAAUGCUUCUUGGUUCUCAGAAGGCGGCAGCCAAGGCCAGAGCAGAGGAUGGUGGGACGAGAGCCUCCAUGGGGACAAUGACAGCCUGGAAAGCACAGGCCUGUGUGCCCUGCCCUCACGCUGGGGUCUGGCUAAUACAGCAGCGGCUGCACCAUGUCUGGCGACCUGGUAGCUGUGUCUGGACUGAAGACAAACACUGGCUCAGUUUUAACCAAGUUCUAGACUAGCUUCAGAUUUCCCCAGAAGCUCAGGGGCCAUGGAUGUGGCAGGAAAGGGCUUCAGGAGCCCAACAAGCAGCGGACGAGCAACAGCUUCAGGCAGGCCCUGCCACGCACCCACACAAACAUCCCUGGUUCUUAGUCACCUGGUCCACUUCCCAAGGGACCAGAGCUGGAGGAGCUGUGGGGACACACACAGAAAAGGCAGACCUUUCUUGAUAACUGGGGGCCAAAACUCUGGUUAACAGCUCUGUAAUAGAUAAAAUUCCAAUUCCAUGUCCUCUAUUUUUUUUCCUUUAAAAAAAAAAAAAAAAAAGAGAUGGGGUCAACAUGCUCUGUUGCCCAGGCUGGAAUGCAGUGGUGCAAUCAUAGCUCCCUGCAGCCUCAAUCUCUCAUACUCAAGUGAUCCUCCCACCUCGGCUUGCUGACGUGUUGGAAUUAUAGGCAUGAGCCACCAUGCUCAGCCUCACUUCUAUUUCUCUGCUGGGCUAUUGGGCCUCUGCCAUGGUCAGUGACCAUCAGAGAGAAUCCUAUAGUUACAUGCUAGGUAAUAUUUCAGGGAUUCCGACACUCCAAAUACACACACACACACAAACACACACGCACUUAUGCAUAUGCACACUGCUUACUGGAGUUACUCACAACUACAGAUAAAGCUUUUCACCAUAUCACUGGGUUAUAAACAUCACCAUGGGAGGUAACACAUUUAUGUAUUGACAUAAAUACAAUUCGUGAAAGUUAGAGUGCUGUUGUAAAAGUCUUUCUUGAGAAUCAACCUUGAUGCAAGGUGGGCCUGAGGGCUGAAAGGGGAGGAAGAAGGGGCACCUCAGAAUCGGGACAGGAUCCUGAGUCAGAGCCCGGGAGGAUAGUAGACAGGCCACUCCUUCACAUGUCUGCACAAGCCAGCUCUGGCCCCACACGCCCCGGGAACCAGCCAGAGAGGCAGGAUAGGGUGACUGACCUGUCGCUCCACGACCCGUUCCACUCAACCUGGCCCCAAGGGUUCCGGAUUCGGAUGAGCUCGAUUCUCUGGCCUCGGAAGCUUACCUAGAAGGGAAAAGCAUGAGGGAAGUGUGAAAUGAUAAAUAUGGUGGAGGUUUGGCCACAUUCAUCUAUGAGCUCCAGGUGGACCAGCUCCAUCCAGAACUGGUUCUGUUGAAAGUCUCUUGCCUAAAAUGCUGCUGAAGGUAUGUAGAAGUUCGCCAGUUCUUAACCAGCCCUUGGAACCUUCUAAUUCCUAUUGAAUAAUUGCUACUAUUGCCAAUGAUAUUAUAUUAAGCACCAAAAUGCUUAUGCCACAUCUGGGAAGUAAAGUAGAAUUGCAAUUAACAAGAAAUUAGUCCAUAUGAAUCUAAAAAUGGGUUUCUCUCUAGACUUGGAUCUCCCUAGAGGCAGGAGCCAAGUCUUAGGCAUCUUCAGCAUCUAGCAGAGUGAAUGGUAAAGAGUAGUCCUCAAAGGUGCUCAUGGAACUAUUACUGAACUUUCUUCAUCCUAGCAUCCCAUGCACAGAUGAAUGAUAAGAAAAUAAGCACAUGUUGGGGAUUUAAACACAACAAUAAACAAAAACAGCUUUUACGUCUUCUAGACCCAAUAUUCUCCUUAUUUCAGGUGUCUGUGAGGAUUCCUGCUGUUCACCUCAAUCACCCUUGAGCCUGUGUGCCCUCAGGCUCUGCCUGGGAGCAGGGACAAGGGCCAAUGCAUUUGAGAAGGGUUUUAGAGGAGAGAGGGUGAAAGUAAAAGACUUCUAGUUAUCAACUAACCAGAAACUGUAGCAGUCAGAAUGUUUUAUCCUCAUGCAUUUGGCAUAAAUUAUAUUUUGGAUGUGUAA